CUUAGCUUUCUUUCUGCUGUGUAGAGAUACAAGGAGAAGACAGAAAUCUGCAACCCAAAAGAUGGCCCUCACCAGAAUCUGACCACGCUGGCACCUUGAACUUUGACUUUCACCCAUCAGAACUCUUCAGAGCAGAGAUGAUUGUCAUUGUCACCAGAGUGAUAACACCACAGAUACAACGUUCUAUCUUUUAUUGACAAAUGCCUGAGCCUUCACAGUAUCAAGGGAACUUCCCACAGAGAAAUUGUAAACUAAGCAUUUUUGACCUCCAACUAAUUUCGGGACACGUCAGAGGACUCGUGGAAUAUCAGAAGAUUUAAAGAAACUUUCUUUUGAAUCUUAAGCUACCGAUAACUUACAACAAUUGGACUGGACUGGAUCCUGAAUUCUUCCACAUGCCUCGAUUUAAUUUUCUCCCACUCUUCUGACUUGGAAUUGUUAAGAACAAGAACUGCUCUAUUCUUGGAACCCUGCAACCUGGAGAUGGACAACUUGAUGUAACUUCACAGGCAUCCCUCAUGCCUGAUACAUGAACCACAGGCAGUUCACAAAAAUACCCAAU